AAACAUUAGUGGGUUAAGUUGUGUAAACGUCACUGCUUGAUGAGCGAGCGGGUUCUAUGAAAUGGAGACCGACCUCGGUGCUGUGUAUAGUGGGAUGGCAGCCGCCCUAGAGAAAGUAACAAAUGAAGCAGCUAUUUUGGCUGAGCAUCAAAAACAAGCACAAGAACACAAUGUAGUCCUAAAAAAAUUAAAUACAAGUUUUAAUCAGGUUCAGUCAAGGCUUGAACGUGUGGCAGCUGUGAAACCCAGUUUCAGCAAAUUGCACUUAUAAAGAAAUAUUACUAAUGUACUGGUGUGACUUCAUCCUAUAUUUAAAAAUAAAACAUUUUAUUCUGGAGAUGGCAAAUAUUUUUGUAACGGUUUAUGCUAUUAGACCAUUAAACUGACAUUUCAACAAUGCAUACAA